CCUACGGGAGGCAGCAGUGGGGAAUAUUGCGCAAUGGGCGAAAGCCUGACGCAGCGACGCCGCGUGCGGGAUGAAGGCCUUCGGAUCGUAAACCUCUGUUAGUAGGGAAGAACGGUCACUGUGCUAAUCAGCAGUGAAUUGACGGUACCUGCAAAGGAAGUACCGGCUAACUCCGUGCCAGCAGCCGCGGUAGUACGGAGGGUGCGAGCGUUAUUCGGAAUUAUUGGGCGUAAAGCGCUCGUAGGCGGUCUGUCAAGUCAAGGGUGAAAUCCCCGCGCUCAACGUGGGAACUGCCUUUGAAACUGGCAAACUGGAGUGUGUGAGAGGAUAGUGGAAUUCCAGGUGUAGCGGUGAAAUCCGUAGAUAUCUGGAAGAACAUCAGUGGCGAAGGCGACUAUCUGGCACAUAACUGACGCUGAGGAGCGAAAGCGUGGGUAGCGAACAGGAUUAGAUACCCGAGUAGUC
rnacentral:rRNA from 1 species